UUUGAUUUUUCUAGGCUCUAGGCUUUUUCGUAAUUUGAACCUGAAACUACACCACCGAAACGCUUCACACACCCAACUGCUUCUUCCCGCACUGCUUCUUUACAUCACAAAAACCUACUUUACUCUCUCUCCCUCAUACCUAUCUCCAUUUUCCCUGCUAAAUUUCCCUCAUAACUCUCACUUUAUUAAUUCCUACAUCUAACCUUCUUUGAGCUAUUCAUUAAUUUGGAAAACUGAAAAAAAAAAUAGUUUGCUCACACUGCUACUCUCUAUACUUUCCCACACCAUAUAUAUACUAACUUCGACGCCACUGAAGAAAAUCAUCCUCGCCCACGGCUUCAGAAAAAAAUGGUAUUCACUUCAUAAUAGCCGGUAUAGACAAACAAGGAUGCCAAAACACAAUCUUUUGAGAAACAACGAGAAGAUAUUAACAAUACUCCUAUAAACAAAUAUCAAUUUAUAAAACCAGAAAUGAUCAACUCAAGGUUGAACAAACACCGUGUUAUCAGAGUGUUGGAUGCGAGUGGAGAAAAAAGGAACAUCCAAGUUGUUACUGAUUAGCAAGCCACUUAUCUCAUUUGAAGUAUCUUUAGUUUGUUAACUUCCUAAAACCGGAUUAAUUUUGUGUACUUUUAUUUUGUUAUCCAAGUUGUUUAUGAAUAUAUCUUUACAUUA